rnacentral:lncRNA from 1 species
ACUCUUUGUUGCUUUGUUUCGUUGUACUUCCUCAUUCUGACAAAUGCUAGUUUUCAAGUCUGAUUUUGCAUUUUUCUUGAAGACGGCCUACUGGAUUACGUGAGCUUUGAGCCCCGUGAAUCAGCCCCUGCCUGCAGGUGUUUCUGAGUCAGGAGGAUAAACAGGAAUAAGUAGGAGGGGAUUUUUUGAUAGGGAUCAGAAACUGGCUGAAGGCUUUUGAGGAAAAAGAAGUAAUUUAAUGGACUCAAAUGACGUAUGAUGUUUCACGCUCUGGGCUGGGGCUGUGGGGCAGUGCUCGCCUCGCGCUGCCUCCAGCCGGGCUCAGCUCCCAGCACAGCCCUCCCUCACCCUCCCCUCUCUCUGCCC